rnacentral:rRNA from 1 species
UACAGAGGGUGCGAGCGUUAAUCGGAAUUACUGGGCGUAAAGCGUGCGUAGACGGCUAUCUAAGUCGGGUGUGAAAGCCCCGGGCUCAACCUGGGAAUUGCAUUCGAGACUGAAUAGCUAGGGUACGGUAGAGGGAAGUGGAAUUUCCGGUGUAGCGGUGAAAUGCGUAGAUAUCGUAAGGAAGACCAGUGGCGAAGGCGGGUCUCUGGACAGUUCCUGACACUGAGGCGCGAAAGCCAGGGGAGCAAACAGG